GAUGAACGCUGGCGGCGUGCUUAACACAUGCAAGUCGAACGGGAAACCUUUUAAUGAAGCUUCGGCAGAUUUAGCUGGUUUCUAGUGGCGGACGGGUGAGUAACGCGUGGGUAACCUGCCUUAUACAGGGGGAUAACAGUCAGAAAUGACUGCUAAUACCGCAUAAGCGCACAGGACCGCAUGGUCCGGUGUGAAAAACUCCGGUGGUAUAAGAUGGACCCGCGUUGGAUUAGCUUGUUGGUGGGGUAACGGCUCACCAAGGCGACGAUCCAUAGCCGGCCUGAGAGGGUGAACGGCCACAUUGAGACUGAGACACGGCCCAGACUCCUACGGGAGGCAGCAGUGGGGAAUAUUGCACAAUGGGGGAAACCCUGAUGCAGCGACGCCGCGUGAAGGAAGAAGUAUCUCGGUAUGUAAACUUCUAUCAGCAGGGAAGAUAGUGACGGUACCUGACUAAGAAGCCCCGGCUAACUACGUG
rnacentral:rRNA from 1 species